rnacentral:rRNA from 1 species
GACGAACGCUGGCGGCGUGCUUAACACAUGCAAGUCGAACGGAAAGGCUCCAGCUUGCUGGAGUACUCGAGUGGCGAACGGGUGAGUAACACGUGGGCAAUCUGCCCUGCACUCUGGGAUAAGCCUGGGAAACUGGGUCUAAUACUGGAUAGGACCUUUCUCCUCAUGGGGUUUGGUGGAAAGUUUUUCGGUGCAGGAUGAGCCCGCGGCCUAUCAGCUUGUUGGUGGGGUAAUGGCCUACCAAGGCGACGACGGGUAGUCGGCCUGAGAGGGUGAUCGGCCACAUUGGGACUGAGAUACGGCCCAGACUCCUACGGGAGGCAGCAGUGGGGAAUAUUGCACAAUGGGCGGAAGCCUGAUGCAGCGACGCCGCGUGAGGGAUGACGGCCUUCGGGUUGUAAACCUCUUUCAGUAGGGACGAAGCGUAAGUGACGGUACCUGCAGAAGAAGCACCGGCUAACUACGUGCCAGCAGCCGCGGUAAUACGUAGGGUGCGAGCGUUGUCCGGAAUUACUGGGCGUAAAGAGCUCGUAGGCGGUUUGUCACGUCGUCUGUGAAAUCCUAGGGCUUAACCCUGGACGUGCAGGCGAUACGGGCUGACUUGAGUACUACAGGGGAGACUGGAAUUUCUGGUGUAGCGGUGGAAUGCACAGAUAUCGGGAAGAACACCGAUGGCGAAGGCAGGUCUCUGGGUAGUAACUGACGCUGAGGAGCGAAAGCAUGGGUAGCGAACAGG